rnacentral:tRNA from 1 species
CAAAAUGCAAGUUUGAAGAUGAGCCCAGAAGGGCUCCGGG